rnacentral:misc_RNA from 1 species
GAAAUGCGAUAAGUAAUGUGAAUUGCAGAAUUCAGUGAAUCAUCGAAUCUUUGAACGCACAUUGCGCCCGCCAGCAUUCUGGCGGGCAUGCCUGUUCGAGCGUCAUUUCAACCCUCGAGCCCGACUCUUUUGAGGACGGCUCGGCGUUGGGGGACGGCAGACUCCCCCCGGCAUCUCGCCGGGGACGCCGCCCCCGAAAUCUAGUGGCGGCCCUCCGAGGCGACCUCUGCGUAGUAACUUGUUCUCGCACCGGAAAGCUCAGAGCGGCCACGCCGUAAAACCCCAACUUUUUUCAGGUUGACCUCGAAUCAGGUAGGACUACCCGCUGAACUUAAGC